rnacentral:rRNA from 1 species
UUCGCAAUGCCCGAAAGGGUAGCCGCUGACGGAGGGAUCUGCGUCCUAUUAGCUUGUCGGUGAGGUAACGGCUCACCAAGGCAAAGAUGGGUACGGGGCCUGAGAGGGUGUUCCCGCACACUGGGACUGAGACACUGCCCAGACUCCUACGGGAGGCUGCAGUCGAGAAUCAUUCGCAAUGCCCGAAAGGGUGACGAAGCGACGCCGCGUGGAUGAAGAAGGCCUUCGGGUUGUAAAAUCCUGUCAGGAGUUAAGAAAUGUAAGUUUGAGAAUACCAAAUUUACUUGACAAAGGCUCCAAAGGAAGCCACGGCUAACUCUGUGCCAGCAGCCGCGGUAAUACAGAGGUGGCGAGCGUUGUUCGGAAUUAUUGGGCGUAAAGAGCACGUAGGUGGAUUUGUAAGUCAGAUGUGAAAGCCUUCUGUUCAACGGAAGAAUUGCAUCUGAAACUACAAACCUUGAGUAUAGGAGGGGAGAGUGGAACA